rnacentral:rRNA from 1 species
AUGGAUUGGCUGGCCCUCACCUGCCGCGCCGCUGUGUUGAUCCUCCUGUUCCUGCCGUUCGGUGCGCCCGACGACCGGCUUGUCCCCGGCAAGCCGCUCUCCCCUGGCAGCACCAUCGUCUCCGAUGGCGGUGCUUUCGCCUUGGGCUUCUUCUCCCCAAACAACUCCACCAGUACCCCAGCCAAGUUGUACCUUGGCAUAUGGUACAACGACAUUCCAGAGCUCACUGUGGUUUGGGUCGCCAACCGAGAAACCCCGGUCAUCAACAGCUCUUCCUCUUCACCGGUGCUCUCACUCACCAAUUCCUCCAAUCUCAUUCUCUCUAAUGGUGAUGGCAGCGGCCGUGUCCUCUGGACUACGACCAACCUAUCCGCUACACCAGGGCCGUCUACCCCUGCGGCGGUGCUUUUGAACACCGGUAACCUUGUUAUCCGGUCGUCAAAUGGCACCACGUUGUGGCAGAGCUUCGACCACCACACCGACACGUACCUCCCUGGUAUGAAGCUCCGGGUCAAGUACAACACCCGUGAUGGCCGUGAGCGCCUUGUAUCCUGGAAAGGCCCCAAUGAUCCCUCACCGGGCCGCUUCUCUUAUGGGAUCGAUCCCACCACAUGCCUCCAGAUGUUUCUCUGGGAUGGGGCACACCCCGUGUUCCGCACCGCCCCAUGGACAGGGUACCUGGUGACAAGCGAGCGCCGGUACCAAUAG